rnacentral:rRNA from 1 species
AUUGAACGCUGGCGGCAGGCCUAACACAUGCAAGUCGAACGAGUGGCGGACGGGUGAGUAAUGUCUGUGAAACUGCCCGAUGGAGGGGGAUAACUACUGGAAACGGUAGCUAAUACCGCAUCCCAUCGGAUGUGCCCAGAGGGGAUUAGCUAGUAGGUGGGGUAGCGGCUCACCUAGGCGACGGUCCCUAGCUGGUCUGAGAGGAUGACCAGCCACACUGGAACUGAUACAAGGUCCAGACUCCUACGGGAGGCAGCAGUGGGGAAUAUUGCACAAUGGGCGCAAGCCUGAUGCAGCCAUGCCGCGUAUAUGAAGAAGGCCUUCGGGUUGUAAAGUACUUUCAGCGGGGAGGCGUUACCCGCAGAAGAAGCACCGGCUAACUCCGUGCCAGCCGCCGCGGUAAUUC